AUGGUGAAGGCUGUCACAAAGAAGAGUGAAGACCUGUUCUGUGAUUCCCCAAACGAUCGAAGUUCCUCGGUGAACCAAGGAAAAUCAUCCGGGUACCCCAGGUUGAGAACCACUGAUCUACACUGCCAUAUAAAAUCCAUCUUAUCUGCAUUGAAUGGGAUCAUAUGGCAGUGUAGACUCAUAUAAUCCAGUUGAAAUCAGAUAAUCUGGAUUAUAUGGCAGUGUAAAUCCAGCCUGGGUCAUCUAGUGCAAGUUCUAGCAACAGUUCACUAAAGAAGUGAACUGGAGAACCAGGAUAUUCCUAGAAAGGUGUUGUUUUGGGGGAGAGGGGAUUUUUAUUCAAGGUUUUUCACUUUUGCAGAGGCCCUCAACCUCAGAUAAUUCAGAGGGCUGUUUGUAUAUACCAGGGGUCCCCAAACUAAGGCCCGGGGGCCGGAUGCGGCCCUCCAAGGCCAUUUACCUGGCCCCCACCCUCAGUUUUAGAUUGAGGCUUGCCCAAAGUCUGAAAUGACUUGAAGGCACACGACAAUCCUACUUGACUAUCUCAUUGGCCAAAAGCAGGCCCACUUCCCACUGAAAUCCUGAUAAUUUUACAGUAUGUUGAUUAAAAUUGUUUUUAUUUUUAAAUAUUGUAUUGUUCUUUCAUUUACUAAUAUUGUAAAUGAAAUAUUGUAAAUGAAUAAUAUGGUAAUAAUAUUAUAUAUUGUGUACACAUAUAAUAUUGAUAAUAAUAUUAUAAUGUAACUAGCUGUGCCCGGCCACGCAUUGCUUUGGCAAAGUGGCGGUGGUAUUGGUUAAAAAUUGUUGUGUAAUUUUUAUUUGACGUUAUUUGCAUUUUUAAUUAAUUUUAUUGUAAGUUAUAUUUUUAUGUAUUAUGUUUUAUUAUUUUCUUGUAUUUUUUUAGUUAUUUUCUGUUAUUAUAGUACAGUAGAGUCUCACUUAUCCAACAUAAACGGGCCGGCAGAACGUUGGAUAAGCGAAUAUGUUGGAUAAUAAGGAGGCAUUAAGGAAAAGCCUAUUAAACAUCAAAUUAGGUUAUGAUUUUACAAAUGAAGCACCAAAACAUCAUGUUAGACAACAAAUUUGGCAGAAAAAGUAGUUCAAUACGCAGUAAUGCUAUGUAGUAAUUACAGUGUUUACUAAUUUAGCACCAAAAUAUCACGAUAUAUUGAAAACAUUGACUACAAAAAUGCGUUGGAUAAUCCAGAACGUUGGAUAAGUGAGUGUUGGAUAAGUGAGACUCUACUGUAUUUUAUUGUAUUAAUUUUUAGUGUUUUUUAUUAUUUUUUAUUGGGUUGCUAGGAGACCAAGUGAGCGGAGCUUAGCCUUCUAACUGGCAGCAAUUGGAUAAAAACAAUUAUUCCUCUCCCUCUAAUUAGGGCUUUAUUUUUCUUUUAUUUUUAUUGUAUCAACCUAGAGGCGUGGAUGAGGGGUUGUGCUGUCAAUUUUCGAAGUUGUGGGGUGUAAUAAUAUUAUAUAUUGUGUGCACAUAUAAUAUUGAUAAUAAUGUAAUACAAUAUAAUAUUUAUUUAUUUAUUACAGUAUUUCUACCUCGCCCUUCUCACCCAAUAGCGGACUCAGGGUGGCUA
ensembl:lncRNA